ACGAACGCUGGCGGCAUGCCUAACCCAUGCCAGUCGAACGAGACCUUCGGGUCUAGUGGCGCACGGGUGCGUAACGCGUGGGAACCUGCCCUUAGGUUCGGAAUAACUCCCCGUAAGGGGUGCUAAUACCGGAUAAUGUCUUCGGGCCAAAGAUUUAUCGCCUUUGGAUGGGCCCGCGUUGGAUUAGCUAGUUGGUAGGGUAAAAGCCUACCAAGGCGACGAUCCAUAGCUGGUCUGAGAGGAUGAUCAGCCACACUGGGACUGAGACACGGCCCAGACUCCUACGGGAGGCAGCAGUGGGGAAUAUUGGACAAUGGGCGAAAGCCUGAUCCAGCAAUGCCGCGUGAGUGAUGAAGGCCUUAGGGUUGUAAAGCUCUUUUACCCGGGAUGAUAAUGACAGUACCGGGAGAAUAAGCUCCGGCUAACUCCGUG
rnacentral:rRNA from 1 species